rnacentral:rRNA from 1 species
AUUGAACGCUGGCGGCAGGCCUAACACAUGCAAGUCGAACGAGAGGCGGACGGGUGAGUAAUGUCUGGGCAACUGCCUGAUGGAGGGAGAUAACUACUGGAAACGGUAGCUAAUACCGCAUACCAUCAGAUGGGCCCAGAUGGGUUUAGCUAGUUGGUGGGGUAACGGCGCACCAAGGCGACGAUCCCUAGCUGGUCUGAGAGGAUGAUCAGCCACACGGGAACUGAGACACGGCCCAGACUCCGACGGGAGGCAGCAGUGGGGAAUAUUGCACAAUGGGCGAAAGCCUGAUGCAGCCAUGCCGCGUGUAUGAAGAAGGCCUUCGGGUUGUAAAGCACUUUCAGCGGGGAGGCGUUACCCGAAGAAGAAGCACCGGCUAACUCCGUGCCAGCAGCCGCGGUAAUUC